UACGGAGGAUGCGAGCGUUAUCCGGAUUUAUUGGGUUUAAAGGGUGCGUAGGCGGAUCGUUAAGUCAGUGGUCAAAUUGAGGGGCUCAACCCCUUCCCGCCAUUGAAACUGGCGAUCUUGAGUGGAAGAGAAGUAUGCGGGAUGCGUGGUGUAGCGGUGAAAUGCAUAGAUAUCACGCAGAACCCCGAUUGCGAAGGCAGCAUGCCGGCUUCCGACUGACGCUGAAGCACGAAAGCGUGGGGAUCGAACAGG
rnacentral:rRNA from 1 species